GUCUGAUUGUAGUUGAUGAACCUCUCAGCGUGGAUCUGCACAUCUGGGGAGUAGGGAAUCAGGUUCUCUUCUCUGCUCUGCUCUGUUGGGAUCUCUGGACGGCGAGGAUCCAGCAGAGCCUUGGGGAGGGAGAGGAUGGCACCGGAGGGAAGUCCGAUCAGCAAAUGACGGCUGGUGAUGCCUCGCUCGGUGAUGGUGGCCUCCAUGGCACUGAUGGCAGAGGGGAAGAUGUACGACUGCUGGAGGACCUGAGGUAAAAGAGGGCGGUCCAGGGAGCUGAAGGCUGUGGCAUUGUAUUGCUCCGUCCCCUCGUACAGCUCCAGCACAGUGAACUCGUUCCGACGUGCCUUUGUGUUC
rnacentral:lncRNA from 1 species